CCUCAGCCUCCCAAGUAGCUGGGACUCCAAGUGGGUGCCACUACAGCCAGGUGUCUUUAACUGAGAUAUGAAGAUCACAAGCAGAGAAGCUUCCGAGUUCAGGGAGGAAAUCCAGAGUUCGGAUUUGAGCAUGUUAAGUUUGAGAUCUCCGUUAGACAUCCACGAAGGUCAGACCUUCAGACCUGUAGAUGGGCUCUUCUUGGACAUUCUGGAGUCCCUGGGGGAAAGGGAAGUCUGAAGCUCAGUUGGCCAC
rnacentral:lncRNA from 1 species